rfam:Klebsiella pneumoniae IS39, WGS project CBWT01000000 data, contig: rep_c972
CUUUAAAAAUCUGGAUCAAGCUGAAAAUUGAAACGACACACAGUUAAUGUGUGUUCGAGUCUCUCAAAUUUUUCGCAAUCAGAAGUGAAACAUCUUCGG